rnacentral:rRNA from 1 species
UACGUAGGGGGCAAGCGUUGUCCGGAAUCAUUGGGCGUAAAGCGCGUGUAGGCGGCUUGGUAAGUCCGUUCUGAAAGCCCGGGGCUCAACCCCGGGAGGCGGAUGGAUACUGCUGAGCUCGAGUCCGGAAGAGGCGAGUGGAAUUCCUGGUGUAGCGGUGAAAUGCGCAGAUAUCAGGAGGAACACCAAUGGCGAAGGCAGCUCGCUGGGACGGUACUGACGCUGAGACGCGAAAGCGUGGGGAGCAAACAGG